CCCUUAGAUGUCCUGGGCCGCACGCGCGCUACACUGACUGCUCCAACAAGUUACCUGGGCUGACAAGCAUCCGGGAAAUCUUGCAAAGGCAGUCGUGAUGGGGAUAGAUUCUUGUAAUUUUUGAUCUUCAACGAGGAAUUCCUAGUAAACGCAAGUCAUCAGCUUGCAUUGAUUACGUCCCUGCCCUUUGUACACACCGCCCGUCGCAUCUACCGAUUGAAUGGAGAGGCAAAAUCUUCGGACCGUGACGCUUGGGAGUCAAAUCUCGGGCUGUCGUGGGAAGUGGAUUAAACCUUUCUAUUUAGAGGAAGGUAAAGUCGUAACA
rnacentral:rRNA from 1 species